rnacentral:lncRNA from 1 species
GUCAAAUAAUUGUAUUUAUUUUUUUAUUUAAAACCAAAAGGUUAUUAAAUGUUUAGUUUAAAUGUAUGGAAUUUACAGUUCUAUAUAUGAACCAUUUUAUUGUAAAUACAAGCAAUUUACAAGUAUGCUGUACCACAGUCCAGUAAAUAAAAAUCAAUAUUGCUAAAAUCAUUGGUAAAAAGGCAAUGGCUACUGUGUUACAUUUACAAGUCCAUUAAAACGAUAAAAUUAUGUUGAAGUAGCACAAGAGCAAAAAAAUUAGCAAGACUUACAACAGGGAUAAUAUUAGCAGCAUUCAGAUUAAUAACACUUACUAGGUCUCCAAAUAUUUUCUCCUUUUUGAAGCUUACCAUUAACAUUUUAUGCAGGUCCUCUUCAAAAGAGUCAAUGUUGCAAUCAGUCUUUUGUAAGUCAUCUAAUACCUCCUGUAACAUAAACUGGUAAUAUUGCUUCAUUAACAGGCCACCCUUCAGAACCUCUUUACACUCUCUCACUAGCUGCAAGAGAAAAACCCGAAAACGGUCAUCAGUCAAGACAUUAAGAGAGAACAGCUCUCUCCAGCAACACAGGAUCAUCAGGAUUACAAGAGCUACUGCUAAAACAUGGAUGAGAUGGCUCAAAAAGCAGAAGCUAGUGAGAAAGGAUGGGAGAAAAAGCAAACUGUAGGAAGCACGUAAUCUGCUGGUUUUCUUUUUGUGUGUAUACUUUUUUUGCAAAUCACUUUUUUUUUUUUAAUACAACUGACUUGCUAAUAAUUCAAAAAUUUAACCUCACCCUGGAAAAGCUGACUAUCAAGACUUGCAUGCCUGAUAGAUUCACACAGUACUCCUACACAUUUCAAAUGGUACCAAAAUGUAAGAGAUACUCAAAGGUCUCAGUGCCCUGAAUGACACCCACUAGGUCAAUCACUAUAGAAAUCAAACUGCACUAUUCUAUAUGCAUAGGAAUAACAGUUCAAGAGAUUGGGUUUGUUCAACCUACAGAAGAAAAUAUGCAAGGGGAAUUAAUCACAGCUUUCCAAUGCCUACAGAGGAGUAGUUACAGAGAAAGCAGGGGUACUCCUUUCACAAGGAUGCACAGUGACCCAAGUAGAGGCAAGAGUAGAAGCUGCUUCAGAGAAAUUGUGUCUGGAUACAAGAAAAAAAAAAUGCUUUACUGGGAGAAAAAACAAAUGCUGGAGCAGGUUGGCUGGAGAAGCAGUGGAACCUCUCACUUAAAGUAUUCAUGACCUGGCCUAACAAGGCCCUGGAUAACUUCGUAUGAGGCCCAACUUCCCCAAGUUUGGACCAGAGCAUAUCCAACCCAGAAUUCUCUGUAAUUCUGUAAUAUUUUGUGAACUUGCAAAACAAAACAGACCCACAGACUCUGUUUCAAGCCUGCUCAAGAUUUUAGGAAUUGUAAUUCUUCAGGAAACAAAUAGACUUAUUUGUGAAAUAUCCUCCACAGCUCCUUUGCCUGUUCAGAAAUGCUGCGUGGGACAGCAAGCAUUUGCUGAG